CAUUUCAAAACUAAAAAAUAAAAUAUUCAUUUUUGAUGGAUAAACUUGGCCUUGAUCUUCGAUUGAAUUUUUUUUUUUUUUUUCAGAAACAUUUUUCAAAUCUUGGUGAUAGUUGUUGAACUUUAAAAGAAAAUUUUGUUUUCCAUUUGGAUUUAUGAUAUCCUCCACUAGAAGACAUGAUUUUUCUGAAUCUGUUUAGGCUUGUAAUUGAUUGACCAAAUAGGUUAAUUGAUCUUUGAAGAUGACGAUUUGCAUUUUCUUUUCACAAAUGUUCCAUUGUCCAUGCCGUGAAUUUUCAUUGGGAUUCUUGCUUUUGUUUUCAUAAUUACUUCUCGAAUUAUAACUUUAUGCUAUGUUCAUUUUCUUAUUUGUUUUUUUUUGGGUCUCAUACUUUGUUGUUUGGUUGCUUUUUAUGAUUUUUAUUUUUAUGAGAAUGUUUGGUUGCUUUUCGAAACAGUAAAAGUGCUUCCUACAGCUCAUGACAGAUGGAGACUAAUAGCAAAUUCAUUAACGUUCUGAUAGUGAUUUGUGAAGCUGUAAAAAUUAUAGAAUACAGGGAACAAGUACUGAAAAUUCAAUGCUUCUGCUGCACUGCAAGGUCCUCUGCUGAUUUUGUUGUGAAUGGUACGUAUACUUUGACUGGCUUUAGUUUGUAAAGACAGAGAAUUCUCUCUCUUUAUGAUUCUUGGUUUAAACCUAAAGUGAGUGAAAUUUUGUUCAUGCAGGUGCUUGAGUUCAAGUCUUGAAGAAGGGGAGGCUGCAAAACUUGUAUUGGAAUGGGAUGGCUGAGCUACUGUAAUUUUGUCGACAAUCAGGAUUCUGCAAUCAAGACAUCCAACUGCAAGAGGGAGGCUACUUGGAAAUAUUCCUGCAGUAAAUAAUAAAGAUAACACCGUUAACAUGGAGUAAAUUUUUGAGGGUGUGGCUAGGAGGAAUAUUUUCACAGAUAAAAAAAACAUAAAAAUUUAAAAUUUAAAGGCAAAAAGUUACUUUGGUCCUUGCAGUUUGUUUUCCAUUUUUGUCCGUGUGAUUUUAAUUUUGGCAAUUGGAACCAUGUACUUUGAUAUCCUUGCAGUUUGUUUGAUCCAAAUUGGA
rnacentral:lncRNA from 1 species